CGUACCUUCGUUACCUCUUUAACAGUCUUUUAGAAUCCCAUCUUUUGGUUAUUCCGCAAGGGUGUAACCCAAAAGAAAUUAGACAAAGGGAUGCCCACGCCAUGGAGCAUGUCGGUUAUUUUUUGUUGCAACGCGAAGAACCUUACCAGGUCCUGACAUCCUCUGAAAACCCUAGAGAUAGGGCUUCUCCUUCGGGAGCAGAGUGACAGGUGGUGCAUGGUUGUCGUCAGCUCGUGUCGUCGAGAUGUUGGGUUAAGUCGCCGCAACGAGCGCAACCCUUGAUCUUAGUUGCCAUCAUUAAGUUGGGCACUCUAAGGUGACUGCCGGUGACAAACCGGAGGAAGGUGGGGCAAUGACGUGCAAAUCAUCAUGCCCCUUAUGACCUGGGCUACACACGUGCUACAAUGGACGGUACAAAGAGCUGCAAGACCGCGAGGUGGAGCUAAUCUCAUAAAACCGUUCUCAGUUCGGAUUGUAGGCUGCAACUCGCCUACAUGAAGCUGGAAAGACUUCGCUAGUAAUCGCGGAUCAGCAUGCCGCGGUGAAUACGUUCCCGGGCCUUGUACAGCACCGCCCGUCACACCACGAGAGUUUGUAUACACCCGAAGUCGGUGGGGUAACCUUUAUGGAGCCAGCCGCCUAUGGUGAUCCGAGUGGGG
rnacentral:rRNA from 1 species